GGGAGGCAGCAGUGGGGAAUAUUGGACAAUGGGCGCAAGCCUGAUCCAGCCAUGCCGCGUGAAGGAUGACUGCCCUAUGGGUUGUAAACUUCUUUUAUGUAGGAAGAAACCCUAUCUCGUGAGAUAGGCUGACGGUACUACACGAAUAAGGACCGGCUAACUCCGUGCCAGCAGCCGCGGUAAUACGGAGGGUCCAAGCGUUAUCCGGAUUUAUUGGGUUUAAAGGGUGCGUAGGCGGGAAAUUAAGUCAGUGGUGAAAGCCCAUAGCUCAACUAUGGAACUGCCAUUGAAACUGAUUUUCUUGAAUAUGAUUGAAGUGGGCGGAAUAUGACAUGUAGCGGUGAAAUGCUUAGAUAUGUCAUAGAACACCGAUAGCGAAGGCAGCUCACUAAGUCAUCAUUGACGCUGAGGCACGAAAGCAUGGGGAGCGAACAGGAUUAGAUACCCUGGUAGUCCAUGCCGUAAACUAUGAUUACUUGCUAUUGGCGAUAUACUGUCAGUGGCAUAGCGAAAGUGUUAAGUAAUCCACCUGGGGAGUACGAUCGCAAGGUUGAAACUCAAAGGAAUUGACGGGGACCCGCACAAAAGGG
rnacentral:rRNA from 1 species